CAAAGGUUGGUUUAGUUUUGAACUUCUUUGGAAUACUCUGUAAUGACUGGUGACAAGGUUUUGGUGACUUUGUGCAUAAUCAUUACAAGAAGAACAUUGCAUAAAAGUUUAAAAUCUAACAGAUUUUUUGGUAAAUGAUAGGAAUCGGGGAUUCUCACAUUUAGAAUAAGGAUUUGGGAUUGUGAAAUGAGUAUCACUGGAAUCAUGUUCAAUUGAUCUACAUCACAAUGUAAGGAUCAUAGACAAACAUAGUGUGCAUACUUGGAGUAUGGCAUAACUAUAGUUUAGAAAAACAAAGUGUACAUGCUAGGAGCAUGGGACGACUGUUGUUUUUAUUCAAUUCUUAAGUUGAUUGUUUGAAACAUUAUACAAUGAAUAAUGUGUAAUCAAUAUGGUGAUAAAUAAAAGGUGGUUCUAUUUAUAUUCAAAAGGGUUCUGAGACCAUAUUGGAUUCGAUUAUUAUUGUGUUUCACUUUGCAUGUUUUGACUUCUAAAAUAGCUAGGUUAUUCUUUCCGAAUGACUAAGUUAUUUAAACAUUCCACAGUCAUUCAUAUGUUGGAAGUAGGUAUGAAUCAAGACUGUCAUGAAUCGAGUUUGUAGAUGGCUAAAUGGGUUUAGUCAUAGCAAUGGUUGCUACAACAUUCAUGAGUGCUCAUAAGUAAUGAGUAUUGGAAUAAACCCACGCUCACUUGUAUCACUUCAUGGAAUUUAUCUCGAGUGAUCGUGAGACGGUAAUAUCAUAUAAAUCUUCAAACCUAGAGAUAUGAGUUGUUACCUAUGAGUUGGUUGUGCAUUGAUUGCACGUAAACGCAUCAGUAACUUGAUGUUAUAAAACGUGCCUUUGUGUACAAUUCAACAAGUAGUAGAACAAGCAUAUGAGUCGAAGUUUAUCUGUUCCUUCUAGAAAUAGAAGCGAUAUCUGGGCCCCUCGAUGAUUUUGUUGUGACCUAUGUACCGGCCGGUCAGAACUAAAUUGAUGUGUUCGAUUAAGUUCUUUGUCAAACAAAUCGAAAAUCGGGAAACAAACUGCUGGACAAUAAGUACGACGUUGUUCCAUGUAUUUGUCCGGCUGAUAUCAUGAGAACAGAGGAUUAUAUGAUCACUUAUCUAAAAUGGCGCUUCAUAGUUCAACAGAGUUUUCGAGAGCUACGAUUGCUGGUUGGUUCCUGAAGUAACAUACGCAAAUAUAGUUAUUAGACUUAUCCAAGUGGGAGUCUGUUGGAUAAGGUGUCUAAGUCCAUAACUUAUUUGGUAUAUACUUGACCCGACCCGGCAUGGUCCAUUUGGGUUGCAUCUCACCCGAACUAUUUAUGGAUAAUUUUAUGAGAGUUAUACACAUAUGUUUAUUAAUAUAUUAUAAGUUAUAAUAUAUUAAUAUGAAGUUAUGUUAUUUAAUUAGUCUUAGUCUUAAAUUAAUUAUGAAUUAAUUUAGAGAUUAAAAGGAAGACUAAUUAGAUUAUGGGCUAUUGGUUUUAUAUGGUGUGGGCUAACACUCAUUUGUUAAUGGGCUAGGCUUAUAUGGAAGUCCAUGGAUGAUCCAUGGAGCUUUUAACCCAUGGAUCCUUGGAAAAGGAAAGGUCAUGGGUUAUUAGGGUUUCACCCUAACCAUGCACACUAUAUAAGCAUGCUUAUGGAGCAUGAAAUGGCAACUAGUGAACUAGUGUGUGUGUGCUUGUGUGUGGCCAAAAAUACAAGUGUGUAUACUCUCUCAAAGUUUUCCAAGAGUUUGUGGUGUUUUGUGAUUCCAUUUGAGGCAUUCACACUAUUGGUGCUUGGCCCUCAAACUCCUUAAGAACCAAACUCAUCAAAAAGGUAUGUAAUCUCUUCUAACUCUUUUAUGUUGAAAUGUUCCCCAUGCCAUGUUAGAUAGGUUAUGAACCUUGGAAAAUUAUUAUUUUGCAUGUAUUUAGACAAACAUAGAUCCAAGGUUUAUUAGGGUUGCAUGCACACUUAGGAAGUGUUAGAUUGCUCAAAACCCAACAGUGGUAUCAGAGCCUAGGCUUGCUUGUUUGAUACUUGAUGCAAAAUAGUGAAAAAAGUUGAAAUUGUUGCUGUCUGGCUGAUGGACUCGCCGAGUCCAUGGGGGGACUCGCCGAGUUCAAGGCAAAAUUCAUCCUACUCGGCGAGUAGGUUCGUGCACUCGGCGAGUAGAAUGAUCAGAAUGCAGAAUUUCGACUUUUGCUGCUGGAAAUGGACUAGAAACAUUACCCUAAACUGUUUUGGUGUUUUAAAACUUGUUUUAGUUGGUGUAAUGGUUGUUCUAAUCCAUUUACAAUAGCAUAUAUCAAAAUUCCAUGAUUUUUAUGUGUUCAUAUAAUUCUUGAAAUUUUGAUGAUCAUGUUCAUGUUCUUAUGAAUUUAGAAGAUGAUAGGAAUUAUUUGCUGAAUUGUUUAGAAUUAAUUCUUGAUCAUUUAUGUGUUUUAAUGGAGUCCAUAAUUUGUCCUCAAGUUAUGGAUAUCCAAAGGUCACUUUUCUUUAACACACACAUUUAAACACAUAAGUUACAUGAAAAUGAAGAGUCUUCAUUUUUAUGAACCUUUAAUUCAUAAGUUAUGAAAUGAAAAGUUUUGGAUAGUUACAAAACUUGCCCUCAAGUUUUGGAAUUUGAAAAGUUUCACACACUUUAAUAAACUUUAAUUCCAACACUUAGAGUUUUAAAAGUUAAAAUUCAACACUUAUACUAUUUAUAACAUUAAUGGUUAAUUAUUAUAUAUAUGUAUAAGAACAAGUCGUUUUACCGUUAGUAGGCCUCAUUCACGAAGCCGGUCUAUAAGGUGGGUAUAAGGUUGUUGCCUAUAAAAUGGCGACUUAAUGGGUGUCCACUCUCACCCACCGCUUGCUUGAUCGGUGGAGGGUCGUUAGCCGAACGGGUAGGACAAUGACUUUAAAUUCUCAUUAAAAGUAUAAUGAUUAUUAUAAAGUAACUAAAAAUUUUUUAUUUAAUUCCCAAUCUUAGUUACUUUAGGAAAAAUGUGAAUUUGGUGCUAGCCCAUGGAAUUCACACUUUGUACCUUACCAAGUCGUUGGUGGAGCGUGUGUGGUUAACCGGCACACUAACUUGGACUAGUAAGGAUCACGAAGGGUGACUUAAUGUUUGUCAUAGAUCAAUGGAGCGUGUGUGGUUAACCGGCACAUUGAUUAGGUGAUAAUAUUAAGGGUACCAAGUGAAUUGGUAUGGUUAUUCACACCUUGUUUUGUGAUCCUCGGCAUCCCAGUCACAAAAUUUGAGAGGGCACACUCGAGAUUGAAACAUGCCAUUGAAAAGUUCAAUGAAUCUCAAAAGAUCUAGGAAUUUCAAAUCCAAUUAAAACCUAAUAAAUUAUUUCGUUUUUCAUGGUGGAAAUUGGUGAAUCGUCAUUCGCCUACCUUCAAAUAUUUUAUAGCUUGGAUUACGGCAUCCCUCUUCCAAAUUAUAAAAUAUUGUGUUGGGUCCUAGCCUUAAUAUUUCAUAUUGGGUGUUAUAUUAAGGACUUUGAAUCAACUAACUUGAUUUUCUCCCAUUAUAGAUGUCUGGUUCAGACAACUAUGAUCUUCCCAAAUCUCUUGAAGAUGGUGUCCCUCAACAUCAUGCUUCACUUCCUCCACCUCCUCCAAUUAUUCUCCCUCACCCACAAGUUCUUGAAAAGUUUAAAGUCACUCAAUCCCUAUUGGCAAGCAUAGUCUAUGUGUGCUCACAUCUUGGAGAUAAAGUCACAUAUUGACAAGCCGGGAGAGUUGGGUGUCAAAGUCUCGUGAAAGUUGGAUGUUCAAUCACUUUCUUAGUAACAUAGUGAGUCUCUUUGGGACUACUAUGAGACAGACUAUGACAUGACCCUUAAUGAUGUUAUCUAUUUGCUUGGUGUUGUGGAAUCAGCAAUGAUUUGGAACACCAGUAAAGCAAAUUUGAUUAAAAGAACAACUUCCCAAGUCUUAAAUGGACAUUGACAAUGGUAGCAUUGGAUAUCUAGAAAAGGAUUUCUCUUCCCAAUGGAAAGGGAUCGGCCAUAGUCAACUCGGUUGACCAAAUGGUAAAGAGAAAGGCUAAGUCUGAGAUAGUCUCAUGUGCCAUUACCAAAGGGUCCAUGUGUUUUGUUGCCAAAGGAAGGGGCAUUGGUUGCGAAGCUGCCCUAUUCACCUGAAAGGUCAUAAGGUUGAUCAAGUCAAGAGGUUUGACUCUACUUCGGGUAAAGUCCACUGUCUAACUCUAUUAAGUUCCUAUUUGGAGAUUCUUAUUACAUAAUGUGAAUGGGUCACAUGCUGAUGUUUUUAAGAAUCAAAGAAAAGAUAGGAAGCUUAAAGUAAGUAUAUGUUGAUUCUGAUUGCGAAGGUGGGUUUCGAUCGCAUGGUUCGGUAAUCAGAAUUUUGAGCUGUUGCUUAAGAGUUAUAAUAUAUUGCUUAUGAAUAGAUAACAACAAGGUUUUCAUGUGGAUUGUAAGGAUAAGUUUUUCCGCAAAGUUUUAAAAAAAAAAAAAAAAAGGGUUUUAAUUUUAUUUAUUUUAAAAAUAUCCUUACAAUGGCAUCUGUGGAAAAUUGUUGCUUAUAUGUUUCCAGUAAUAGCAAUAUUGGAAAGUGGAUUUGAUUCUUUCAUUUGUGGUAGUGUCUGAAUUUACCAAAUGAAGAAAGUUUUUCAUCACCCAAGUUUCAAUUGGACAGAAACUUGGAAUCAUACAAGUUGUAUUGUAUGAUGAAUGAGAAUUUUCAUCUUUGAAAAUUAAGACUAAUUCUUUGAUCACAUGUAUAUGUGAGUCAAUUGAAGGACUAAGGAAUUAGGUACACUGGGUGUGCGCUGGUCAAGGUCCACCACAAAGAUUGAUUUGUCAUGAUUUACUAAAGAUUAGUAAAUAUGAUUAUACUUAUGAGGUUAAGUAUAAUUCUGUAACAUUGGAAAGGUUACAAUGUAUGACAAAACAAAUGAGAAGAAUCAAAUUAGGCAGAAAGAUAAAAGUUUCUCAAAUCUGAAAGGAUGGGAGAGUACUUUAGUAUCGUAUUUCAUGAUCAUCUUAAUGAUUAUGAAACCAUAUCACAAAUUCAUACUCUAAGGACGUCUUAGUGCAUUGUUAUGGCUAAGAAGAGAGGUCAUGAAUUGUUGGAUUGGUUAAAAUCAAGAAGAUGAGUCAUACUUCGUUCCAAAACAAUUCUUAGAGUCAUACUCCAAGAUUGUAACUUUGAGUGACAUAAAGGAAGAUUUAUUAACACUAGUCAAAUGUAAGAGUAAAAUGUUUUCUACUCUUGUACAUUUGAGAUUGGUAAGUUGUGAUGUCUUGGAUGAGACAAAGACCAACUAAGACCAAUUGUGUGAAGUGUUAGUCUUGAUAAGAAUCCGCACUAUCCCUUGAAUAUUUGUUUUGUCAAGGAAUGGUUCUUGACUGGGGAAACUUAUAUGUCAAGGGGACAGUGGGAGCCUUAAAGAUCCUGAAAGAGUUUCAAGAUUUAAUCAAGAGUAAAACCUGUAAUUUAUCACUAGCACACGACUUAAGGUUUGCAACCUAUCGUGUUGACAUAAUUCUUAUUUCUGUACCUACUUCAAAUAAGUUGAAUUUGCAUGUGAGUUAUCAGAGUUCAACUUGGAAGCAUUGGUGGGCCUUGUGCUACCAAGGUGACAAGAAACUAAGAUUGAACAAGUUUAAUCCAUGUAAGGCUGAAUUUGUCACUAACCUUAUCUUGUGAUUAUGGUUUUGACAAAUUCACAUGGAUAGGAACUCAUACACUAUAAAAUCUAAGUGUCAUAAGGUUUCUCUCCGAUUCAUGAAAAUGAUGGUGAGGAAACGCUUUCACUAAGUAGAUUUUACGUAGAUAUCAAUUGUGUUAUUUGCAUUUUCAAAAGUCGUUAGUGGAGCGCGUGUGGUUAACCGGCACACUAACAUGGACUUGUGAGAAAUGGCAAAUGCCUAAGCAAUUGAGACUAUGAUUACGGCAUCCCUUUUCAUAGUUCUGAAAAUUGUUUAGACACACAUGUGAGCUAUCUAAGAAAGGGUGUAUGAAUCUAAAUUUCAGAAGUCCAGCAGAUUUCUGGAAAUAUGUCAGAGCUAGUGGGAGCAUAAGUGUUAUGCUGAUAAUCAUCAUGUUAGUGGGAGCAUGAUUAUUACGUUUAGUGUUGCAAGUUAGCAAUGUUAAUUAUAGAAAACAAAGUUUCAAUUCGUGAAGUUGCAGGGGUUGAAAAGUUGUUUUGCUAUAAUUAAGGGAGAGGAAAUUAUACUUCAUUUCAAUUCUAAAGCUUAGAUUGAGAUUUUAAUCAUCUUUAGUCAAGAAUAUAUAUAUGAAUUUUAUGUUGGAAUGGUUCAACUUGAAGAAAUUCUAUAUAUAUUGCGUUUUCAAAAUUCGAUUAUGAUUACGGCAUCCCUCUUCAUAGUUAAAUUUUGAAAACAUGGCAAAUAAAAAAUAUUGUAGCAAAAGACUGGUCUAGUAUCAUGUCUUUAUGUCAAACAUCAUGAAUCGUGUCCCAUAUGCUUCGGAUAUAGGAUCGAUUGCAUGUGCUAUAAUAUUCAUCUUUUCUAAAUUUUCCAAAUGCUUAAGGCAUUGAGAAGGGAAAAGUCUAGAACUGGAUAUGACUAAAGUGAUUAAGCAAUUGUCGAGGACAAUCUGAGGUUCGCCAAAGAUUGGUUGCUCAGGGAAAGUUGGAAGUAUGAUGUAAGUUGUCGGAAAGGACCAUAUUGACAUAUUCUGAAAAGAAGUAACUCUUGUUCGGAAGUGAUAGUCAAAAUGGGACUAUGGAAAUGUCUCCAUAGGUGGAAGUUAUUCAAUCUAUGUAAGAUUAGAAAACCUUAAUGCAAGAAGGAUGUUCAAAGCAAUGUACUUUGAAUAUGAGACUUCCGUUCCAUAGAAGUUGACCUUCUUUGGAAUACUCUGUAAUGACUGGUGACAAGGUUUUGGUGACUUUGUGCAUAAUCAUUACAAGAGGAACAUUGCAUAAAAGUUUAAAAUCUAACAGUUUUUUUGGUAAAUGAUAGGAAUCGGGGAUUCUCACAUUUACAAUAAGGAUUUGGGAUUGUGAAAUGAGUAUCAUUGGAAUCAUGUUCAAUUGAUCUACAUCACAAUGUAAGGAUCAUAGACAAACAUAGUGUGCAUACUUGGAGUAUGGCAUAACUAUUGUUUAGAAAAACAAAGUGUACAUGCUAGGAGCAUGGGACGACUGUUGUUUUUAUUCAAGUCUUAAGUUGAUUGUUUGAAACAUUAUACAAUGAAUAAUGUGUAAUCAAUAUGGUGAUAAAUAAAAGGUGGUUCUAUUUAUAUUCAAAAGGGUUCUGAGACCAUAUUGGAUUCGAUUAUUAUUGUGUUUCACUUUGCAUGUUUUGACUUCCAAAAUAGCUAGGUUAUUCUUUCCGAAUGACUAAGUUAUUUAAACACUCCACAGUCGUUCAUAUGUUGGAAGUAGGUAUGAAUCAAGACUGUCAUGAAUCGAGUUUGUAGAUGGCUAAAUGGGUUUAGUCAUAGCAAUGGUUGCUACAACAUUCAUGAGUGCUCAUAAGUUAUGAGUAUUGGAAUAAACCCACGCUCACUUGUAUCACUUCAUGGAAUUUAUCUCGAGUGAUCGUGAGACGGUAAUAUCAUAUAAAUCUUCAAACCUAGAGAUAUGAGUUGUUACCUAUGAGUUGGUUGUGCAUUGAUUGCACGUAAACGCAUCAGUAACUUGAUGUUAUA
rnacentral:lncRNA from 1 species